rnacentral:misc_RNA from 1 species
CUCACUGAAGCGAGCACCAGAAAUUUCACGGCAGACCCCAACGGGCAAGGACUCGAUCCUGUGCCGUAGCGCACACGCCAAACCUCUUUCGCUCACCACUGCACCACGAGGCUCAGCGAUGGUGAAGUUGAAUGUCACUCUCCUCCGCUUCAUGGAAGAUGAGGACUUUCGCGUGCUCACGGCGCUCGAGAUGGCCAUGCGCAACCACGACGUCGCCCCGACCGCGCUCGUUGAGCGUAUCGCACAGCUGCCCCACGGCGGGUGCCGCAAGCGGCUCAACAACCUUCUCAAGCACAAGAUGAUUCACCAUGAGAACACCAUGUACGACGGUUACGCCAUGAAGUACGGCGCAUACGACUACCUAGCACUGCGCACGCUUAGCAAGCGCGGCACCUGCACAGGUGUGGGCCACCGCAUUGGGUGCGGCAAGGAGUCUGAUAUUAUCUUAGUACGGGACGAGGCCGGCCACGAGUGCGUGCUCAAGCUGCAGCGCCUCGGACGCUGCUCAUUUCGCAGCGUGGCGCGCAACCGCGACUACAAAGGGAACGGCCGCGCCCGUCAUGGGGAGAGCUGGUUCUACCUGUCGCGCCUCGCCUCGCAGAAGGAGUACUCGUUUAUGAAGCUGCUGUAUGACGAGGGAUUUCCAGUGCCGAAACCGAUCGACCAGAACCGGCACGCGCUGCUCAUGGAGCUGGUGCCAGGAACCCUGCUAAACAACAUCACGGAGCUCGGAGACGCCAGCAAGGUGUACCGCCGCGCCCUGGAGCUGAUGGUGAAGCUGGCCGAGUCGGGGCUCAUUCACGGUGACUUUAACGAGUUCAACUUGAUGAUCACCGACGACCAGCGCGUCAUCAUGAUUGACUUUCCGCAGAUGAUCUCCAUCAACCACCCCAACGCGUCGGAGCUCUUUGACCGCGAUGUGCAGAACCUCGCCAACUUCUUCCACCGCCGCUUCAAGGUGGACACGACGUGGUUCCCAUCGCUGGAGAAGGACGUGGUGCGCAAGGGCGAGCUGGAUAAGCAGGUGUACGCGAGCGGGCACUUCACGCGCAAGCAGCAGGAGGAUCUGGAGCGACUCAUGCUGGAGGGCUUCCAGCGGAGUGAGAAGAGCGAUGACGAGGCAGGCUCGCAGGUGCGCGACAGUGAUGCGAGCGACGAUGACGGUGACGAAAAUGCGUCGCAGCGUUCCGACAUAGGCAACGCGGACGUGGAUGCGGGAGUUGCGGGCAAGUUCACGUCCAUCCCCGGCGGCGCAAGGGGCGGCGAGAGUGACGAGGAGAGGGAGGAUAGCAGCGACGAUGAUGCGAGUGAAGGCAGGUUGCUCGACGAGGCCAUGGGCGCCGCACGCGAGCGGCGCGAAGGCGAGAUCUACGCCCGCAAUACCGACCGCAACGCAAACUUUCUGCCGGAUGGAAAAAUCAACGAAGACCAUGUGAAGCACCAGAUUCGCAAGAACAUUCGGCGCAAGGACAACCACGACUUCAAUCGCCACCUGCACCGCAAUGUGCAGAAGGGUCGGCAGAAGCAGAAGAUUCAGCGUCAGCUCAAGAGUUCGAACGGUGGCGGCUUCUUCGACUAGGUUGCGCCGGUGUACAUGCUUCUUCUCGUGUGGAUGGAGAGGGAGGGGCAGUGCGGAGUGCAACUCCUGUGCCCGUCAGCUCGCUGGUAAUCGUGGCGAUGCACCUGCUGCGAUUAGGCCCCGCUUUCUUUUCGCGCGAAGGCGAGGUGGCUCGCGCCGCAUUUCCUUUCUCCCCCCUCCCCCACGCCCGAUUGUACCCGACCCUCGCAGAGCGAGGCCGCUCGGUAGAUGGGUGGGGGUAUCCCUCGAUCUCCUACGAUUUUCUCGCUCUGUUGCGCACGCCCGGCUGCCAUGCUUCUUUCCCUUUUUUCCGUUGUUGUUUUCGUCCCUCUUUCCUUGUGUGCCGUGGAGGCGAAUUUAACGAGUAACAAAGCCGACGAGGGGUGGCGGCGGACGGAUGCCCCGCUGCCGGUGUGUAGGUGUGUUGUCAUGUCUAAGGCGCUUCCCUCUCUCUCGUUUUAUGCGUCAUCUUUUUUUGUAUCUUUCGUUGUUGUUGUCAGGCGCCGGCUGCUCCCCAAGCGGCGCAAGCGCGCGCGUCCCAUACGCUGUGAUGCC